GCUCACUACUGGCUUGGGCAUCCAAGCAGGAGGAGAAGGGUCUCAAAGGUGUCAAAGUAAGAUGGAAAGAGGUCAAGGCCCAGACCCCUGGUCUAACCUGAGCUUGACCACCAUUUCACAGAGCAAGUAAUGACGCCCUCCUCCCAGACUUGCCCCAAAGCCCCCCAGAGCUUGGUGGUGUCCCAGGACGGUCCUCCCAGGAAACAUUUUGAAUAAGUUGCUGAAGUGCCUGAUGGACGUGGCUCUCGUCACGAAAUGAGUUUGGAUCCGAGAAGCCCUCUUCUUCAUCGGAAAACAGGACAAAGAUGAGCUGCGUGCCCAUAAUUCCACGUUUACGCUGACUCCUCCAGUGCCUCAUCAAUGAAGCAGCUACGUUCUGGAUGGCUAGCAUGUACCGAAGGCACAAAACCUCCAGAGUUGGCAGAGUUAAGUCCUGGCGUGCCCGAGGCUAUCCAGGGGAACACGCGGGACAGACAGCACCCUCAGCCUGUCCCCAUGACCCUCUGCUCCAGUCUGAGGGGCAGGACACCAUGAGACCUCUCAGACACAGAGUCCACCCUCGACAUGACCCGGAUGAAAGGCAGGAGUGUGGUGAGCCCCUUCCUGCCCAGGCCUCCCCCUGGCCGUGGCCUCCUGUGCACAGCUGGACCCCAGGGGUGGCCCGAAAAGGACCCAGCACUGCCCAGUGGGAGGGGGCCAUGGUGGAAACAGGGUGUGGACACCAACCUCUC
rnacentral:lncRNA from 1 species